GAAAAAAUUGGUAAGAGGGUCAACAAGAAGUCUGGUGACAGUGACUUGGUGAAAACAAAGAAACUUAGUGUUUCAAUUCCUGAGAGUGAUGAAGUUGGCAACCAGCAAGACAAUGCGGGCCCUUUAUCAAGGGAAAGAAAGAAGAGCAAGUAUUUGUCACCUCCUUAUACAAGCCCCAAGUGGAAUGCAGGAAAAUCAAGCUUUAA
rnacentral:misc_RNA from 1 species